rnacentral:lncRNA from 1 species
UGCAUAUAAUAAUUUGGGUGCGGAAGCGAAAUAAAGGUUAAGGUUAACAUCCCUUACAUGAUAACUUAAAAGUACUAAACAAACAUCAUAGAAUAAAUUCUCUGUAAGAAAUACGAGAAAUGGAAAAAAUGAAGGAAACUAUAAAGUAUCUAGCUUCUACUCGCAGCCUUCUUGCGGAUUGAGCUCGGGAACGAGGUCCUCCUGAUCUGAAAUGGUUAAAUAAGGAGUGAGCUACACUAACCCAAUAAGGACAUCACACUAUAUCGUCGGCACAG